AAACCGAAGAAGAGUCAGACUAGUACGACGUGAUAUCUGGAGGUAACCCCUUCUGGAAUGAAGGAGAAGCCAUCGACAUCAAACGACCUUACGUCUGCUACGCAACGAAACGAGACGAGACAUAGCAGAAUGGUGAGUUUGGCUGGAAUUUGUUUCAGCGAAAGGUACGGGUUAUCCGGCCAUUCCCUCAGGAAGUGCCGCACCACAUCUACAUGACAUAUGCGUGAAUGUCUCGGUGCCGAGGUCUCGACAACUUGGCACCCCAACGUAACCGACAAACUAGAAUGCCCUGUAUCG